rnacentral:rRNA from 1 species
CCUACGGGGCGCAGCAGUGAGGAAUAUUGGUCAAUGGGCGAGAGCCUGAACCAGCCAAGUCGCGUGAAGGAUGACGGCCCUACGGGUUGUAAACUUCUUUUGUCAGGGAGCAAUUGGGUCCACGUGUGGGCUUAGCGAGAGUACCUGAAGAAGAAGCAUCGGCUAACUCCGUGCCAGCAGCCGCGGUAAUAUGGAGGAUCCGAGCGUUAUCCGGAUUUAUUGGGUUUAAAGGGAGCGUAGAUGGGUUGUUAAGUCAGUUGUGAAAGUUUGCGGCUCAACCGUAAAAUUGCAAUUGAUACUGGCGU